rnacentral:misc_RNA from 1 species
UCGCCUCGACCUCCUCCGCAUUACGGACAACCUCACUCGCGUGCUCGCACUGACACACGGACACGUCUCUGCUCUCUCGACCUGCACUGGCCCUUUCUUUGUACUCUCCUCGAUUCGCGUGCUACACCUUCCCCCUCGCUCACACGGAAGAGGCAUCGACGGACAUGAACACCGUUAGCUCCACAUCGACUGCAGCGGCGCAAAGUCCCUUCUGGGUAGCGUUUGAGAAUAUUGACACCGCCGUACCUCUUUCAAAGGAUGCCAAUGCGGUGGACGGCGUCGUGGUCGACUCGGAAACGGCAGCACACAUGAAAGAAGCCGAGACAUCACUGCUCCGCACUCUCCAGGAGGCGCACGCUGCACUUCACUCCUCGCAAACAAUCACGACCGCGCUUGCCACACAAGGCGAGACACUCACCUACCUGGAGGAGUGUGUGGCAGAGAACCACGAAGAAUGGCGUCAGGGGCGUCGAGAGAUGCGGCGCACGCGGCACUGGCAUACUGCCUUGGCGCACUGGCUACGGUGCGGGAAGGGCGGUUCACGGUCGCAGGUGGCGAACAAGUCGCCUGGCGCUCCACCGGCGGCGAGGCGUCUGUCAGGAACUGCACCGGUGACCGAUUUCAGCACUUGCCGUAGGCUGAAGCGUGAGUCGAGGACUCGUAGCGAGACCUCGGGAGGUAUUACGGCCACACAACCAGAGGCCGCGCACUUCUUUAAUGCUGACGCACUUGGCGACUGCAGCGCACCUGCCAAAAAGGGCAACAACGUGCAACGCGCCGCCGUUGCUGAGGAUAUGAGCACCGAUGUGAUGAAGAGUCCUGAAUCCACCACGCCGCCCGUGCACUGUGGCAGUCGCCAUCGGGCAGCUGCGGACAAGCAUCGCGUCAGCCGGUGCGUCGACGUUGCAAUGUGUGACCGGAUGGAGCCGACACUAGACGAGAUACGCGGCAUUGUGGGCGAGCUGCAUGACCGCGCUACGAUGUGGAACGCUAUGCUGACGUCCGACGUGGGCCGGAUGGACGAGCUCAUCAAGCGCACCGACAAGACACGCGCAAAGAACAAGAAGGUCAAUCUGCGCUGAAGCAGCGCUGUUUAGAACUAUGCGCCUUGUGUGCGUGCGCUGGCUUCAUCAUCUCUUGCUCAUCUGCGCGCAUUCUUCCUUGUUCACUUGCAUCACUGCUCAACGCAGCGAUCUCUCCUCGUUGCUCUUAAUUCUGCUCGUGUGCCACACGCUCCACCGACCCGAUUCUUCGGUGCGUGCGUGUGCGUGUGCUGUCGCUG